rnacentral:rRNA from 2 species
AAGGGGUUGCAAUAAACUGGUGGCUGCGACUGUUUAAUAAAAACACAGCACUCUGCAAACACGAAAGUGGACGUAUAGGGUGUGACGCCUGCCCGGUGCCGGAAGAUUAAAUGAUGGGGUGCAAGCUCUUGAUUGAAGUCCCGGUAAACGGCGGCCGUAACUAUAACGGUCCUAAGGUAGCGAAAUUCCUUGUCGGGUAAGUUCCGACCUGCACGAAUGGCGUAACGAUGGCCACACUGUCUCCUCCCGAGACUCAGCGAAGUUGAAGUGUUUGUGAUGAUGCAAUCUACCCGCGGCUAGACGGAAAGACCCCAUGAACCUUUACUGUAGCUUUGCAUUGGACUUUGAACCGAUCUGUGUAGGAUAGGUGGGAGGCUAUGAAACCGGAACGCUAGUUUCGGUGGAGCCGUCCUUGAAAUACCACCCUGGUUUGUUUGAGGUUCUAACCUUGGCCCGUGAUCCGGGUCGGGGACAGUGCAUGGUAGGCAGUUUGACUGGGGCGGUCUCCUCCCAAAGCGUAACGGAGGAGUACGAAGGUACGCUAGGUACGGUCGGAAAUCGUGCUGAUAGUGCAAUGGCAUAAGCGUGCUUAACUGCGAGACCGACAAGUCGAGCAGGUGCGAAAGCAGGUCAUAGUGAUCCGGUGGUUCUGUAUGGAAGGGCCAUCGCUCAACGGAUAAAAGGUACUCUGGGGAUAACAGGCUGAUACCGCCCAAGAGUUCAUAUCGACGGCGGUGUUUGGCACCUCGAUGUCGGCUCAUCUCAUCCUGGGGCUGUAGCCGGUCCCAAGGGUAUGGCUGUUCGCCAUUUAAAGAGGUACGUGAGCUGGGUUUAAAACGUCGUGAGACAGUUUGGUCCCUAUCUGCCGUGGGCGUUGGAUAUUUGAAGGGGGCUGCUCCUAGUACGAGAGGACCGGAGUGGACGAACCUCUGGUGUACCGGUUGUCACGCCAGUGGCAUCGCCGGGUAGCUAUGUUCGGAAGAGAUAACCGCUGAAAGCAUCUAAGCGGGAAACUCGCCUUAAGAUGAGAUAUCCCUGGGGACUAGAUCCCCUUGAAGGGUCGUUCGAGACCAGGACGUUGAUAGGUCAGGUGUGUAAGCGCAGUAAUGCGUUCAGCUAACUGAUACUAAUUGCCCGUAAGGCUUGAUCC